rnacentral:rRNA from 1 species
UGGGGAAUAUUGGACAAUGGGCGAAAGCCUGAUCCAGCCAUGCCGCGUGAGUGAUGAAGGCCCUAGGGUUGUAAAGCUCUUUUGUGCGGGAAGAUAAUGACGGUACCGCAAGAAUAAGCCCCGGCUAACUUCGUGCCAGCAGCCGCGGUAAUACGAAGGGGGCUAGCGUUGCUCGGAAUUACUGGGCGUAAAGCGCACGUAGGCGGACUCUUAAGUCGGUGGUGAAAUCCUGGAGCUCAACUCCAGAACUGCCUUCGAUACUGGGAGUCUUGAGUUCGGGAGAGGUGAGUGGAACUGCGAGUGUAGAGGUGAAAUUCGUAGAUAUUCGCAAGAACACCAGUGGCGAAGGCGGCUCACUGGCCCGAUACUGACGCUGAGGUGCGAAAGCGUGGGGAGCAAACA